GGCAGAUGUAGACUCAGCUCAGUGGUGGGGCAUCCGCUUUGCCCGCAGAAGGCCCCAGGUUCAAAUCCUGGCAUCUCCU